UACGAAGGGGGCUAGCGUUGUUCGGAAUUACUGGGCGUAAAGCGCACGUAGGCGGAUAUUUAAGUCAGGGGUGAAAUCCCGGGGCUCAACCUCGGAACUGCCUUUGAUACUGGGUAUCUUGAGUAUGGAAGAGGUAAGUGGAAUUGCGAGUGUAGAGGUGAAAUUCGUAGAUAUUCGCAGGAACACCAGUGGCGAAGGCGGCUUACUGGUCCAUUACUGACGCUGAGGUGGCGAAAGCGUGGGGAGCAAACAGG
rnacentral:rRNA from 1 species